GACGAACGCUGGCGGCGUGCUUAACACAUGCAAGUCGAGCGGUAAGGCCCUUUCGGGGGUACACGAGCGGCGAACGGGUGAGUAACACGUGGGUGACCUGCCCUCAGCUCUGGGAUAAGCCUGGGAAACCGGGUCUAAUACUGGAUAUGACUCCAUGACGCAUGUUGUGGGGUGGAAAGCCUUGUGCGGCUGAGGAUGGGCCCGCGGCCUAUCAGCUUGUUGGUGGGGUGAUGGCCUACCAAGGCGACGACGGGUAGCCGGCCUGAGAGGGCGACCGGCCACACUGGGACUGAGACACGGCCAGACUCCUACGGGAGGCAGCAGUGGGGAAUCUUGCGCAAUGGGCGAAAGCCUGACGCAGCGACGCCGCGUGAGGGAUGACGGCCU
rnacentral:rRNA from 1 species